GAGAAGGCAGUGAGCGAGCAGGCGGCAGGCACGGUCCGUGCGGAGCAGGCGAGCGAGCGGGAAGACGCAGCCACCUUCCUCACCAGCCAGCCCACAGCGGUUUGUUCCCCUUCUCGGGAGUGCGCCAAUGCCUGGGCCGACCCAAACCCUGUCCCCAAAUGGCGAGAACAACAACGACAUCAUCCAGGAUAAUAACGGGACCAUCAUUCCUUUCCGGAAGCACACAGUGCGCGGGGAGCGUUCCUACAGGUAAUGGGGCUGGCACGAGAGCAGCGCCGGGGACCGCCGUGAGGGCGCGCGGAAAUCCAGCCCGUUAUAUAAUGGAGCAGACACUGCCUGCGACCCCUGCUGCAGUUGGGGAAUGGCGGUCAAUGUGUAUUCUACCUCGAUAACCCAAGAGACUAUGAGCAGACAUGACAUCAUUGCAUGGGUUAAUGACAUAGUAUCUUUAAACUACACAAAAGUGGAACAGCUUUGUUCAGGAGCGGCCUAUUGCCAAUUCAUGGACAUGCUCUUCCCUGGCUGCAUUAGUUUGAAGAAAGUAAAAUUUCAAGCAAAGCUGGAACAUGAAUAUAUUCACAAUUUUAAACUUCUGCAAGCAUCAUUUAAGCGAAUGAACGUUGAUAAGGUAAUUCCAGUGGAGAAGCUAGUGAAAGGACGUUUCCAGGACAACCUGGAUUUUAUUCAAUGGUUUAAGAAAUUCUAUGAUGCUAACUACGAUGGGAAGGAGUAUGAUCCUGUAGAGGCACGACAAGGGCAAGAUGCAAUUCCUCCUCCUGACCCUGGUGAACAGAUCUUCAACCUGCCAAAAAAGUCUCACCAUGCAAACUCCCCCACAGCAGGUGCAGCUAAAUCAAGUCCAGCAGCUAAACCAGGAUCCACACCUUCUCGACCCUCAUCAGCCAAAAGGGCUUCUUCCAGUGGCUCAGCAUCCAAAUCCGAUAAAGAUUUAGAAACGCAGGUCAUACAGCUUAAUGAACAGGUACAUUCAUUAAAACUUGCCCUUGAAGGCGUGGAAAAGGAAAGGGAUUUCUACUUUGGGAAGUUGAGAGAGAUCGAGCUACUCUGCCAAGAACACGGGCAGGAAAAUGAUGACCUCGUGCAGAGACUAAUGGACAUCCUGUAUGCUUCAGAAGAACACGAGGGCCACACAGAAGAGCCGGAAGCAGAGGAGCAAGCCCACGAACAGCAGCCCCCGCAGCAGGAAGAGUACUGACCCACCCCGGCUGCUCUUGACACUUCCAUUGUGUGUGGGAACGUUUCUUCUGGAGAAUUGGAACAUGUGUGGCCCCAAGCUCAACAGAAACCAGUUGUUCCCAAUCUGCCGUUACCAUCAACGCACUGUUGCAUAUGCCAGCCACUGCGCUUGGUUCCCAUUUUCUUUGCCAAGGUGUAUUAGCGGACGGCCCUCUGGCCACCUACCCGAGAGAUCGUAGGGUCACAUACAUCCAACUUCACCACUUGGCUGCUUGAGAUUGGUUCUGCUCUUUUCUUCAUUUCUUUCCAGAACAACUCUUUCCCACCCCAACACCACUGCCACCACCCCUCUUUUUAUCCUGGUGUGAAACAAUGGUAAUUUGAUAUAUGGUAUUUAUAUUGGCAUUUUUCAACCCAGUGUCACUAGAUGUCACACACAUUUGUGGUGCUUUGAUGUUUGCAAGUCUAACCUCUGAACAUAAAUUUGGUCAAAUAAUUGGAACAAAGGGAAACAGAUACUUGAUAUGAAAGCCAUAAUGACGGUGACUUGUGUCGUGGGGGAAAACAUAAGGUCAUUUUCUCCCUCUACUCACAAUACUAAAGGGAAAAAAUGGAUUCAAAGCUAGGAUUUCAGGGCCCAGCAGUGUUCCUCCAUCAGCAUGUUAGACAACUACACAGUAUGUUGUUAGUUUUGAAAGACAUUCACUCAAGGAAAACACCAUCUCAACUUUGCCCGCUCACCAUGUCCCUUGCCCCCAUGUAGCCCAUUUCCCAGGUUAUGCUCUUUUCUUUCUCAGGGUCCUCUUUGGUGGGCAGCCACUCCCCGAGAUGUUGCCAUCAGUUUUCUGCAGUCCAAAGAGGGUAUGGUUAGGUACGGGUCUUCCUGCCUCAUUCCUCUUCCUCUUUGUGUAGGUUUCAGCCACAAAACUGUCAUUCACUCUAGGGGACCCCUACUAAAGGGUAACUUCAGGUGUGCAGCCCUGAGCUCCAAGGCUCUGCACCAUGCCACACACUUGCUGUAAGGCUAGAAGUGAAGACCUUAUUAAUAGGAGCAUAAUUGCGAGGGAGAAUCAUGGUUCUGCAGUCUGGUGUAGACACUGGAAUAACAGCACAGAAAAAUCUAUGACUCCCAAUAUCUUCUAGAAUAAAGAAUUUUCCCUCUUUAACACAAGGGCCCUCCUUGUCAUUGACCUUAGCUAAACCAUGGCAAUUCAUAAAUAGAGGAAACAUUAAUGAAUUAAAAGCAUUCCUUAUUUUUUAACUAAUAUUUGUACAUUUUCUUAGUCUCUUUCCAAGUCUUUGCCUCUUUUUUUUCUUUAUUUUUAUUUUUUCCUUUGACAGAUGGUAUCCCUUCCUGGAUCAUUCAUUUCACCUUGGUUUCUAACUUUAGGUUUACUUUCACUUGUUAUUUGACUUAGCAGGUGCAACAAAAACAAGAAACAAAUGUGCCCACCCCACUUUCCGCUUAACUGAAAAGCUUAAAAUAAAUUUCUGAAUUAUGUAUCCUGAAGCUUUGAAAUUUCUUUAUUAAUCGAUGAAAUAUGAAUUCUAAAUUCUAGCAUUGAAGCUUUUCACCAAAAGAAGUCUCUCCAAAAUAAAUCUUUUGCAGCAAAGUGAUAUUUAUUGAGUUAUGUGGAAAAGAUGGCUUGUAUUUUUCAGAUUAUUACAACACACUGUGCAGAAUUAGACAGAUGUUCCGUGGUGUUUGGUUUCCCUUUCUUCUCUCUCCUGCUCACUCUGCAUUAUAGCAGCAGCUUAUUUCUCUAAGGCUGGACAGCCUGGCUCUCGGCAGUGACGUCCUCCCACACCUGGUCACAAGUAGUAGUGGCUGUGCUAUACCCAGCAUCAUGCUUAACAGCGUGUUGCCCUUCUGAGCCUGUUGUACUCACUGAUCUCUUUAAAAACAAAAAAUAGCUCUUGUAAAAGGUCACAAUAACUCUAUGCACCUGAUACUGCAGUGGUUCCUAGGCCAUUCUUCAUCUGCUCUGGACAUCUCAGUCAUACCCAAUGCUCAGUGGAUCAUGACCAAACUCCUGUCAUGUGGAUGCACGUGAGUGGGUAGCAGGGAGUCAGGAUCCUGCCUUCUCCAGCAACCCCUUACUGCUGUAUAACUUGCAUAAGCCUCCCUGGUGACUCUUGCAGGAACCACUCCAUUGCCCUCCAGCUCCCCAGCCUUCUCAGUUAUAAACAUGCUGGCCAGAUCUCUUAGCCUGCAAAGAGAACUUUCCCCAGUCACCAUAGACCAUUCUCCUUCCUGAAGGCUUGGGGCAGACCAUUCGUUUAUUUAGAGAAGAGCUAUACAUUCUUCUUUCUGGUCCCAUCUUAAACGUCUUCUGUUGUGCUGCACCCCAGAUGGUGUCUCAGAUGCUUUGGGGAAUCUUUAACAGCUGAAUUUGAGUCAGUCCUCUUAGGCUGCACCUCCAGCCUCUGCAGAUCCCCCCUCAUUUCCCAUGGAUGGUGGGACCCCAUUAUUCUCUCAUCUCGGCAUUCAGGGAACAGUUUCCUUAGCGGCCCCUGGUCACAUGUCAUCGGGCUGGGCAGGAAGCGUCCCUGAUUGCGUGCUCCACUUCUCCCUCUCAGGAAGCCCAGUUUCAUCCUUAGUACCCCCCCUCGUGCCCGCUGUCGGCUGGUUAUAGCACUUCCACUGCUACUGUCAGAUAGGAAGUGAUCGAAGCAGGGGGCAAAGAGAAAGCCCAUAUUUGUUCUAAGCAGAAAAGCAGGAAAAAAAAAAAAAAAAAAGAAAGAAAAACACCUGUUGACCUGAGAGAAGUAAAUUCCAGAAGGGAACCAAGAACUCUUCCCUUCCCUGGUGAGUAUUUCCAUUAUUCCGUUAAGGUUUAAUAUGCAUUCAGAUUACUUUUACUAAAUAGGACACCAUAAAGCUUUUGUUAUAUAUUAAAUGUAAACUGAAAGGAAUGUAAACAUAUGUAUUGUUAAUUAUAAAUAUAGAUAAGUAAUGACAUAAUAGAUGAAAAAGUCUUAUUCAGAUGUAUCACAUUCAUUUUACAUUACCCACCUAUUGUCGCAUGGUAGAAUAGUUUUUUGUCUCUGAAUAUGUGAAUAACUUGACUUGCAUUGAUCUUUUUACAUAUUUAAUAAAAAAAAAAGUAUAUGUUAAAA